rnacentral:rRNA from 1 species
GGAACGAACGCUGGCGGCAUGCCUAACACAUGCAAGUCGAACGAGACCUUCGGGUCUAGUGGCGCACGGGUGCGUAACGCGUGGGAAUCUGCCCUUGGGUUCGGAAUAACAGCGAGAAAUUGCUGCUAAUACCGGAUGAUGACGUAAGUCCAAAGAUUUAUCGCCCAAGGAUGAGCCCGCGUAGGAUUAGCUUGUUGGUGAGGUAAGAGCUCACCAAGGCGACGAUCCUUAGCUGGUCUGAGAGGAUGAUCAGCCACACUGGGACUGAGACACGGCCCAGACUCCUACGGGAGGCAGCAGUGGGGAAUAUUGGACAAUGGGCGAAAGCCUGAUCCAGCCAUGCCGCGUGUGUGAAGAAGGUCUUCGGAUUGUAAAAGCACUUUAAGUGGGA